rnacentral:lncRNA from 1 species
AAUAUACAUUUUCCUGGCUAAAUCUGGUCAUUCCCCUGUGGCUGAGUUGGAAUUCAACUUUUUCUGACCUGCAAGGUCUGUUACUACUUCUGCUUUGAGUUGGUAGAUUCUGUUGGUUUCCUCUGCUUCUUUCUCAUGUGUUCUAGUGAUUCCCAGGCUUUUAAAGAAAUCUUUAUUAUACUUUUAAUUGGGUUUGAUAAAAAGUACAACUAAAUGUGUAUGAUUACUAUGUUACAUUUACAUGGCACUCCUACUCAUUUUAAAAGAGAGAAUUGAAAAAAAAAUCAGCGAUGGCUCAGUGGAUGCAGGUUCUUGCCACUAAGAUGACCUGAGUUCAGCUCCUGAGAACCAUCUCUAGCAAGUUGUCCUUUCACCUCCACAUGCGUGCUGUGGAAAUGAAAAAAUUAACUUUUAUAGACAAUAGAAACCUAUUGGCUAAAACCUCCCGAAAUACGUUUUUAUACUUUAAUAUUAUCUAUAGACAGACCUGCAUAAAUAUUUGGUGCACACCUAUUUUUAUUUGGCUGUGUGAUACAUAAACAUGAAAUUCCUUUUUUUUUUUUAAUCUGAAAUACGAUGAUGUAUAUAGAGACAGACACAGAUCCGGGGGUAUGUAUGGGUGGGACUGGCUGUACACUACAGGGGGCAGCGUGUGGGGUGACAGAGAGCUCUGAGGUGUGCUGUACACUACAGGGACAGCACGUGGGGUGACAGAGAGCUCUGAGAUGUGCUGUACUGAUGAUUCCCAACCUUUGCACACUUUUUAAAGCCACUGAAAUGUACAUCCACAAUUAGCUUAUUUUAUAGUUUAUAAAUUAUACAUCAAUAAAAUUACAAUUAAACUUUCCCAGUGACCAUCCAAAAGAUCAGCCCUAACACACCAUAUGCCACAGCCUUUUUUCCCUAAAGUUUACGGUGAACAAGUUUUAUGUCAGCAAACAUAGACAGUGCAGAAAUCAUGACUAAUUUAUGUCUGAUAGUCCUAUCUUCCCAUACUCUUCUCUUCUUGUCUAAUAAAUUAUGCUUUCCUGGUAGGUUUUCUCUCUUGCUUCAGUCUCUCUGGUUUCAGUCUCUAUGUCUUGCUCAUUGGUGCACAGCUAUCCAUACAUGCAUACAAGUAACCAUUGGGACAGAAAAUCAGCAUCCUAGCCCAGCUUGAUGGUAAACCCUUUAAUCCCAUCACUCUGGAGGCAAAGGUAGGCAGGCCUUGGAGAACUGGAAGCCAGUCUGUUCUAUAGAGUGAGCUCCAGGACAGCCAGAGCCAUAGAGUGAGACCCUAUCUCAAAGAAUAAAAAUGAAUAAACAAAUAAAAAUAAAGGAAGAAAGGAAGAGAGGGAGAGAUCAGUGUUCUAUCGCUUUUCUAUAAUUGUUUGCAGUUUCAUGAUACUCCCUAAAAUACAUAUGUAACAUAUUAAUUACCUAUUUGUCAUGUGAUAGUUACCUAUUUUUCGAUGUUGGGCCAUUUAGGCAGUUUCGGACUUUCUGCUAAUAGAGAUGUAGUUUUAGCUGGCCAGUGGUGGCACACACCUUUAAUUGCAGCUAGGAAGGCUGAAGUAGAUGGAUUUCUAAGUUCGAGGCCAGCCUGGUCUCUAGAGUGAGUUCUAAGACAUCCAGGGCUACACAGAGGAACCUAUCUUGAAAACUUCAAACAAACAAACAACAAAAACCAAUCCACCAACAACAAAACCC